UCCCAGCUGUAAACGAUGCAGACUUGGUGUGAGGGUAGCUACGGGCUACCCUCGUGCCGAAGGAAAACCAUUAAGUCUGCCGCCUGGGGAGUACGGCCGCAAGGCUGAAACUUAAAGGAAUUGGCGGGGGAGCACCACAAGGCGUGGACGUUGCGGCUCAAUUGGAGUCAACGCCGGAAACCUUACCGGGGGCGACAGCAGGAUGAUGGCCAGGUUGAAGGCCUUGCCUGACGAGCUGAGAGGAGGUGCAUGGCCGUCGCCAGUGCGUGCCGUGAGGUGUCCUGUCAAUUCAGGCAACGGACGAGAUCCCUAUCCUCAGUUGCUAUCGGGCGCUUACGCGUGCCGAGCACUCUGAGGAGACUGCCGCCGAAA
rnacentral:rRNA from 1 species